rnacentral:lncRNA from 1 species
ACUUCCGCCUCCAGCCUCAAACCUGGAGGAGCGCUCGGGAACUGCAACCUCAGCCGAGCUGAACAACCUCAGGCAGAGAGAUUCUGGUUUACUCCCCAGUGGCUACGGAGACGCCUUGGAGGCCUUGGAGUCUGCUCACCUUGAGGGAUGGAGGCCAAAAGGGGCCCAGAGCACAAGGCUGAGCACCGCUGGGUUGAGGUCUCCAUGACCAAGCUGGUCUCAGCAAGUGGCGCCCAAACAUGGGGCUCGAACCCGGGUCGAAGGGUCGCCAGAGCGAUGGUUGGAGAACAUGGAACUACGCUGGAGCACACCUGAGUACUCUUAAGCAAUCCCCAUGGACAGAAUCAACAGCCAAUUUGGGUGCCAUCGAGAUAUCUAAAGCCCUACUAUGAGCCAGAUAACGAGGAAGAGGUUUUGGGAGGAUCCCAAACACCCACUGGUGGCAGCAUUGUCCAAGUUGAUGCUGAGGAUGACCCCCAACUGUCACGAGCAACACUCAUCGAAAGCAGCCACCUACCUGGGGACAGAUCAAGAAGCUGUCACAGAUGGUGGAAGAAAACCUGAGGAAAGCAGGACAAGCAGUCACAUCUGCAGAUGCGGAUCCUGACUCCUGCAAGAAGUAGCUCACUGUGAUAAAGCCGCCUUUGCUUUUAUUGCCCUGGUAAAACAAAAAGGGGGACAUGCUGGGAAUAGGCCCCAAGCCUGGCCAUAAACAAGCCAUAAGAAAAGUCAUAAACAAGAUCUCUGCAGCACUGUGACAUGCUCGUGAUGGUUAUGAUGCACACACUGGAGGUUGCUGGUUCACCAGAAUGAGGGCAAGGAACACCUGGCCCACCCAGGGCGGAAAACUGCUCAAGGUGUUCCUAAACCACAAACAAUGGCAUAAGCAAUCUGUGCCUUAAUGACAUGCUCCUGCUGCAGAUAACAAGCCAGAGCCUGUCCCUUUGUUCUCCUUAAAGAAUACUUUCAGUUAAUCUACAAACUACAGAAACGAUGUUUAUCACAGGCUGUCAAUAAAUAGGUGGGUCAAACUCUGUUCGAGGCUCUCAGCUCUGAAGGCUGUUAGCCCCCUGAUCCCACUUUGCACUCUA